CACGCCGUAAACGUUGAGAACUACGUGUUGGGGAGACCCAGUGCUGAAGCUAACGCAUUAAGUUCUCCGCCUGAGGAGUACGCACGCAAGUGUAAAACUUAAAGGAAUUGACGGGGGCCCGCACAAGCAGUGGAGCAUGUGGUUUAAUUCGAGGCUACGCGAAGAACCUGACCAGGGCUUGACAGGAAACUUAAGACCCUAGAGAUAGGGGGAGAAUAAGUGAAACAGGUGG
rnacentral:rRNA from 1 species